GCUGUAUUCCAGCUACUUGCAAGGAAGUAUAAUCCCUCUGUUACUCAAUACCUUUAAAAGCUCAGCUGGGAAAUAAUACUUGUGGAGAACAUCCUGGAAAACACUCAUCCUAUCAUCUAGAAACUCUCUCUAACCAAAGUUAGGCAAGACAAUCCUGGAAUUUACAGGUCUUAGGAUUCAUGAGACUGAAUUCUGACAGAUCUGCCUAUCGUUGGCAACAAAUGAUUCAUGGACCACCACUCAUCUAUAGACCAGACAUUAGUAAGAUGUGCUUGCUUCUCCUUCGCCUUUCACCAUGACUGUAAGUUUCCAGAGGCCUCCCAGUCAUGGUUCCUGUUAAGCUUGCAGAACGUGCACACAACCUGGAGCAAAGAGAUGUCAACGUAGACUUGAAAGCCUCAACAAACAUCUAUACAUUCAAAAUUCAGAGGAUAAUUGCAGACUUACAUGUUAAAUGAUGCCACAGGCUUGUGGUGAAUGUACAAAUCUAAUUCCCUAAACCUAUGAUACUACAGCUGACCCUUGAACAACAUGGGUUUGGACUACACGGUUCCAGCUAUACACGAUGUUUUUCAGCCAAACACAGAUCAAAAAUGCAGUAUUUGUGGGAUAUGGAACUUACCUAUAUGGAAGGCUGACUUUUCUUAUACUUUGGUUCCAUGGGGCUGACUGCAAGAUUUGAGUAUGCUUGUAUUUUGGUAUACUCAGGCCAGCGCCCUGGAAUCAAUUCCCUGCAUAUACCCAAGGAUGGUUGCAUUUAGAUAAUCGGAGCAUUACAAUGCCAUUUGUUAUGCAAAGAACAGCUUCUAUAAUUUGUGAAAUUUCAGUGAAAAAUAAAAUAUAAAGAUUUCACUCUAUUAAACUCUAUUAUUACUAAGAAAAUGAGAACUGAGUCUCAAAGGUAGUUAAUACAACGUAUUGAUCCAGCAGAAAUAGCUAUUCCUAUGAAUGCCAAAAUGAUUAGUCACUUUGUUAUUAAAUCAGCCUCACUGAUUAUUUUAGAUAUUAUAAACGGAAGUGAUUUUCAAUUUUCAACCCAACCAGAUGUUAUUGGCGUGCAUCAAACACAGAUAAGAGUGAAUCUACUCAGAAGAAAAUCAAGGAGAAUAUAGCUAAAAAUAUGCUAUGAGGCUAAUGUUCUGUUUAAAGAAAGGCUUAUUUGAUAUUUCUAUAGUGUUGAAUGACAUUUUCCGGAAAAAAAAUUG
rnacentral:lncRNA from 1 species